AUGGUAGGAUAGAGGCCUACCAUGGUGGUAACGGGUAACGGGGUGUUAGGGCACGACACCGGAGAGGGAGCCUGAGAAACGGCUACCACAUCCAAGGAAGGCAGCAGGCGCGCAAAUUACCCAAUCCCGACACGGGGAGGUAGUGACAAUAAAUAACAAUACAGGAUUCUUUGAAUCUUGUAAUUGGAAUGAGUACAAUUUAAAUCUCUUAACGAGGAACAAUUGGAGGGCAAGUCUGGUGCCAGCAGCCGCGGUAAUUCCAGCUCCAAUAGCGUAUAUUAAAGUUGUUGCAGUUAAAAAGCUCGUAGUUGAAUUUCGGGAUCAAUACGUCGGUCGUGCUUUCGGGUACGUACUGGCGUCAUUGGUUUCUCCUUUCUGACGAACCAUGAUGUCAUUAAUUUGGUGUUAUGGGGAGUUAGGACUGUUACUUUGAAAAAAUUAGAGUGUUUAAAGCAGGCAUUAGCUUGAAUACAUUAGCAUGGAAUAAUGAAAUAGGACGUUCGAUCCUAUUUUGUUGGUUUCUAGGAUCAACGUAAUGAUUAAUAGGGAUAGUUGGGGGCAUUAGUAUUCAAUUGUCAGAGGUGAAAUUCUUGGAUUUAUUGAAGACUAACUACUGCGAAAGCAUUUGCCAAGGAUGUUUUCAUUAAUCAAGAACGAAAGUUAGGGGAUCGAAGACGAUCAGAUACCGUCGUAGUCUUAACCAUAAACUAUGCCGACUAGGGAUCGGAUGAUGUUAAUUUUUUAAUGACUCAUUCGGCGCCUUACGGGAAACCAAAGUGUUUGGG
rnacentral:rRNA from 1 species